CUCCACCUUCUGAGACAAUAGAUCACAUGACCUCUCUGGACUUCCGUUCUCUCAACUAACUAAAUAAUUCAUGGGAUAAUCCCAAAUCCUUUCUAGUCUUUUUAUUUUUAAAGUUGAAAGGAUUUUCUUUAAAGACCAUAGUAGAGAAGCAAAAAGAGUGGGCCAAGAAUGUCUGAAGGUGCAUGAAGGUAGGAAGAUGCAAGAAGAGCACCGAGCAGCAUGACCUCCUAAGGAGACAGUGGCCUAAUGCAAGAUUGCACCUAUAGGGAAAGAAGAGGAAUACGAAGAAACAAGAUCAAGGGACACACCUCUUCAUCAGGGUGUCCAUCGAGGUCUGGUUAGGAAAUAGAGCCCAGGAGAAAACUCAUAGCAAUCACCAGGAAGAUGACCAUGUGUGGCAGAGGCAGAGACUGGGACUCAGCUGCAAACCAAGGAACGUGAAGAAUGUUAUCAGAUGGCCACCAUCAGGCUAGGAAAAGGCAAGAAAGGAUUCUACCCAGAGUCUCAGAGGACUAUGCUCUACUGACACCUUGAUUUUGGAAUUCUUGCCUCCAACUGUGG
rnacentral:lncRNA from 1 species